rnacentral:rRNA from 1 species
UACGUAGGGGGCAAGCGUUGUCCGGAAUCAUUGGGCGUAAAGAGCGUGUAGGCGGCUUGGUAAGUCCGCUGUGAAAGUCCAGGGCUCAACCCUGGAAAGCCGGUGGAAACUGUCAAGCUUGAGUCCGGAAGAGGCGAGUGGAAUUCCUGGUGUAGCGGGUGAAAUGCGCAGAUAUCAGGAGGAACACCAAUGGCGAAGGCAGCUCGCUGGGACGG